rnacentral:lncRNA from 1 species
UGAGGCUACUGAGAUUCAAAGAGGGUGAACAAUUCAUUAGGUCUGGCUCUGACCCGUGGGGCUGAGUCAUCAUCAGUCAGACCGCCUGAACCUGUUCCUCUCUGGGAAGCCCAUACAAACCUAAUCCCUAAACUGACAACACUGAGGGCAAGACUCUGAACUUUGGUAACCCUGCGACAGGGCUGCUAGUCCCUGCUCCUGCUCAGAGCUGCAGACUGCCUCUCCCCGGGGCAGGAGGUGAGCUAUUGCAGAAAUCCUGCUCUGCCAUGGAGCGCGAGGGCUGAGGGCUUGGGCAGAGAGGCAGACAGACUGGUUUGAAAUCCAGCCCCUGAACUUAGUAGCCGAGCAACCCUGGCUUGGGCAAGAUUUUUUUUACCGCUCUGCCCUUCAACCCUUACCCGUAAAACGAAGACAAGAACAGUCUCCUGCUUGUUGCUGUCAGGAUAACAUGAAAAAACACAGCAAGCUUUCAGCCCGUGGGAGCCUUAUUAUCACUGCUGUCAUUACCAGUCUUAAGGGGAGGUGUAUACAACAAAGUGGGUUUGAAUCCUGGUGCCAUCACUUUUUAGCCAUGUGACUUUAAGCAAGUUUACUAACCUUCUCAAUUCCUCACCUUUAAUUUAGGAAGUUUCGGGGGGGAGGGGUGGGGGAGUCCGGUGCCCUCCUCCUUAAAUUAAAAUCAGCUUCUGUGAAGGAAUUGGGAAAUGCCAGAGGUAGGGGAUGAUUCUUGUCACGUAUGGACAGCGUCUGCCCUAAGCCGUGGUCUGUCAGGAGGCAGCCAAGGACUUCUGGACCAUCUGAAUCUCAUCAGAGCGUCCAGGGUGUGGUCUCCAGAGCGCGGCUGUGGCAGCUGGUCUGAAGCUUUCGACUAGUUUGUGUGCGUUUGAGCUGAAAGAAGACUGCUGUACGCAAGGAGCGUGGUGAGGAUGGUCGGCCCGCGGGUUUGGGAAAAAAAGGCCCCAGAGAAAGGCCACGUGUGUGCACGCUGCGCUGGAAGCCCAGCCUCAGGAGCUGAGAUGGGCAGCCCGCGGCAGUUCACGUCGCCAUGGCAAUGAGGGCCCUGGGUGAGGAGAGCUCCCUGGCCUGGGCUCUAAACCUCGGGUUCUGCUUCCAUGCCCCAGGCAGCGCUCACCACCUCACAGGGAGAAAAGCUCAGAUCAUCGGCACCCCAGUCUCUCGGGAACGUGUCAGAUUCUGAGUUGAUGUUAGUUCUGAGAUGCUGACCGGUCACUGACAACACGGAGUUUCUGGGCCUGCCAGGCUGAGAACUGGAUCCUGUCACACAGCAGCCCCACCAAGUUACUGCCACCCUGAGGCCCAGACUAGCUGGCAACUGACCUGGAGGGCACUGGUCUCCCAGUCACCUUCUUUAUCUGUAAUGAUACCUCCCUCAGGAUGUGUAAAGCAUUAAAUAUCUGUGUGUGGCAUACACUUGGUGCUCAACCAUGCUGAUUUUUUCCCCCAUCUUCUGUAAACCCUGUCACCUGCCUAGGCCAAGAGAUGCGAUUACCUUAAGGCCUGGAACUCUGCCUCCUGUUGCUCUGGUUUCUCUCCUUCGCUUCCCAGUAAGUCCCUAGGACUUGACUUGCCCUCGGUAGUUGUCUUAUCCAUGCUGUGGGUUCUCACCACCCUGACCUCUGCCCACACAUCAGUCAUGCCCUCCAGGUGUCCCCUGAGCCACACAGGGCAGCCACCCAGGGGAGCACAGCAGACUGGCAAAGCAUAGCACCCAAAUUCUGGAGCUGCCACCUACUCACCGUGGGACCUGGCUCCAGCCAUUCCCAUUUCUGAGGCUCUACUUCCUCCUGUGUGAAAUAACAGCUUUGGGCUAGUCCUCACAAGCUGUACUUGCGUGAAUGAGUCAUUCCAUCCAUCCAUCCAUCCACCCAUCCACCCAUCCACCCAUCGCACAAACUCUCAGCAACUUCUCAGUGCUGCCUUAGCUACAGCGUUAAGAAGACAGAGUUGAAUGGACAUGCCCCAGGCUUCAAGCCCUUCACACCACGGUGAAGGAGACAGACCUCCACAAAAUAGGAUGUACCCUCACCAGGGACAAGCGGUGUGACAAGAUGGCGGCAGGGGGCUCCCUCUAAGCGGCGCCUGGGUCCCUUGGCGUUGUGGUGGGCGCCCAGGAGCCAGUCCCGCUGCCGGCGGCGAUGCCUCCCCUCUCGGAGCAUUACUCAGCGCCCUGAAAUGUCUGCCUCUCUGCAGCACGGCCCCCUCGUCCUCCUGGAGCGCGGCACAAAGGUCCUGUUGUGGGCCUGCAGCCCAGGCAGCAGCCGGGCCUCGGGGUGACUCACGAUCUUGCCAUUUCCUUUGUGUGGCUCCCAGGAUCCUAGCUGGAAGCCGAGUGUGCGUCUGCCGGGCUGCGCUCCAGCGUCGCCCCUCCGGGAGGAGACAGCUCCAGUCCCGCCUUUCGUGUGGCGGGGGCGGCGGGGCUCCCUGCACGCGAGGCCACCCACGCCUGGAGCCUCGCCAGGACAGCGGUUGGCGCAGGGACCAAGAUGUUGCAGCCUGGCCUCGGCGAGGAUCAAAGCACCCGCUCUGGGGGUGGCAUGUGCUCCCCAUCAGGCGUUGCUCUGCUCCCCGCCCCCUAAACGAACCCAUCUUUAGGAAAAGUGAAAAUUAACCACGGAAGGAAAGGGCCCAUAUGGCUUGGGGAGAGACGUGGGCUGCCGGCCUCCCGCUGGUCUUUGGUUCCAGCUCAGAUGCCUUGUCAGCAGCAGCAGCAGAACCUGUGUUUGAAGGCAUCUUCACAGGCUUGGCUCAGGGCUUGGGCUCCUCGCACUUGGCGGCCUGGCCAAAGCUCGGGCUGGUGUGUAGCCAGAGGCAGCAGCCCCAGGGGUGCUUAAUGAAUAGUGAAGGAGCCAGUGAGCACUGGACUAGGAGCCUGGAGAUGGGUUCUUCCGCAGGUUAACUGCAUCACCUUCAGCAAGUUUUACCCGUAGAAUUUCAGGCAUCUUUCCAAGCAGGUCCCAAGUCACAGCUCCUAAGAUCCUUCCUGGUCUGGCUCCUGCCUCCUGCUCUGGCUUUAUCUCUGCUCACGUACCCCUUACACUUUACACUCCAGCCAGGCUGAGCAACUUGUCCUCAAGGGUCUCUGAGUCAGCUGGGGUGUCACCUCCUGCAGGAAGCUUCUCCCUGGCAUCUGGCAUUGGCGCUCCUCCUCUGCACAAUUUGGAGAACUUCUGCAAAGCCCUGUCAGAGCAGCCCCACCCCAGACUCUGCGAUUCCUGCUUGCUUACAUGAGGAGGGCGCUGAAUGAGUGAGUGAAUGAAUGAAUGAAGGGCUUGAGAAAGGAAGUUGCUUCAUACACCACUGCCCUGUGGGUGGGGACUAAAACAAACCCUACAGGAAGCCUAAGAAAAUGGCUCUAAUUCUGUCCUUCCUUUGACAAUUUUUAGGCUCCUCAUGUGAAACUACAGGUGCUAUGGUGAGGCCAUUGCCCAGGACUGAGGAGGGAUCCACACAGCAAGAGAGGGUGCAGCUGGCAUCAAUCUUCGGGGUCAAAGCCAACUCACGAUUUGUAAUCAGACCCUUGAAACCAAAACCUACAUGGAUGUAAUGACGUUACAUCUUGGGCCAAGUCAGCAGACUGUCCUGAGAACAAUGCAGUAAGCAUCAAGGAUAAUCCCCACACUCCUGCAGUUCCUUAGGACUUGCAAACCUUUCACCAUCAAUAGUCUCAUUGGAUUUGAGGAGGUGGGGUGAAGAUAAUUUCUGCCCCUGUUUUAGAGAUGAGCCUACUAAGCUUGAGGGAAAUUGAGUCUUGCCUAAUAUCCCAUAAAGAGUAAGUGGGAAGAAAGAAUCCAGGUCUUCCUUCAACCAAUCCUCAAAGGCUGGUGAGUGUCAAGCACCACAAAGAUGAGGGAGAUGUGGUUCUUGCCACCAGGGAGCAGCCAGGAUUGUCAGUGAGACCCAAUAGAGCCCAAGAAGUGUUACUUUCAUGAGAGGAACAGGGGCCUACUGGAGUCCAGAGGACAGAGAGGUUUGUUCUGACUGUGAAGUCAGGGAAGGCUUCCUAGAAGAGGAGACUUUUAAAUGGGGCUUUGAAUGGUGGGUAAGAGUCUCCCCAAGGAUGUA